rnacentral:rRNA from 1 species
AGAGGGUGCGAGCGUUGUUCGGAAUUACUGGGCGUAAAGCGCGCGCAGGCGGCCUUUUAAGUCUGACGGUGAAAUGCCGGGGCUCAACCCCGUGCCCGCUGGAGAUACUGGGAGGCUGGAGACGAGUAGAGGCAAGCGGAAUUCCGGGUGUAGCGGUGGAAUGCGUAGAGAUCCGGAAGAACACCGGAGGCGAAGGCGGCUUGCUGGGCUUUGUCUGACGCUGAGGCGCGAAAGCGUGGGGAGCGAACAGGAUUAGAUACCCUGGUAGUCCACGCCGUAAACGAUGGGCACUAGACGCGGGUGGGAUCGACCCCUUCCGUGUCGCAGCUAACGCGAUAAGUGCCCCGCCUGGGGAGUACGGCCGCAAGGCUG